UGGCAGAUGGCUCAGUUGGUCAGAGCAGGGUGCUGACAACACCAGGUUUGUGGGUUCAGUCCCUCUGUGGG